rnacentral:rRNA from 1 species
GAUGAACGCUAGCGGCAGGCCUAAUACAUGCAAGUCGAACGGAAAGUUUGAUAGCAAUAUUGGACCUAGAGUGCCGCAAGCGUGCGUAACACGUAUGCAACCUGUCCGCGACAGGAGGAUAGAUCCUCGACAGGGGAAUUAACCUUCCAUAACACCAUGAGAAGGCAUCUGAUUAUGGUUAAACCGCAAGGGUUCGCGGAUGGGCAUGCGGUUGAUUAGCUCGUUGGCGGGGUAAAGGCCCACCAAGGCGGUGAUCAAUAGUGGGUCUGAGAGGAAGGUCCCCCACACUGGGACGCAGAUACGGGCCAUACGCCUACGGGAGGCAGCAGUAGGGAAGAUUGGAGCAUGGUUGUAAGACUGAUCCAGCCAUGCCGCGUGGAUGGAGAAGGCCUUCUGGGUCGUAAACUGCUUUUACCUGUGAAUAAAAUACCCGGGCGCGGGGAAUUGAAGGUAACAUGGGAAUAAGCCACGGCUAACUACGUG